UGGCUGAAAGCGGGGUGCUCUCAGAGAAUGUGUAUCNAGUGCUGCAUGGCUGUCGUCACCUCCUGUCGUGAGAUGUUGGGUUAAAUCCCGCAACGAGCGCAACCCCUGCCAUCAGUUGCCAGCAGUUCGGCUGGGCACUCUGAUGGGACUGCCGGUGUUAAACCGGAGGAAGGUGGGGAUGACGUCAAGUCAUCAUGGCCCUUAUGUCCAGGGCUACACACGUGCUACAAUGAUCGGUACAAAUCGUCGCGAACCCGCGAGGGGGAGCCAAUCGCAAAAAACCGGUCUCAGUACAGAUAAGAGUCUGCAACUCGACUCUUUGAAGUUGGAAUCGCUAGUAAUCCCUGAUCAGCAGGCAGGGGUGAAUACGUUCCCGGGUCUUGUAACACACC
rnacentral:rRNA from 1 species